rnacentral:rRNA from 1 species
AUACAGAGGGUGCGAGCGUUAAUCGGAAUCACUGGGCGUAAAGCGCGCGCAGGCGGUCUUUUAAGUUGGAUGUGAAAGCCUACGGCUCAACCGUAGAACUGCAUCCAAAACUAUUAGACUAGAGUGUGGGAGAGGAAGAUGGAAUUAGUUGUGUAGGGGUAAAAUCCGUAGAGAUACCUAGGAAUACCAAAAGCGAAGGCAAUCCUCUGGAACACUACUGACGCUGAGGCGCGAAAGCGUGGGGAGCAAACAGGAUUAGAAACCCUAGUAGUCC